UCCGCGGCGCAAGCCAGUGUGAAGGCGGGAGCCAUGCCGGAGUCGACCCUCCCACCCGUGUCGAUUGUAUCUUCUGUUGCUUUGGUAGGCCGGGGCCCGCCUCGCGGAUCCCGCUGGCCUCUGAUGGCUGGAGCGUGCCUGCCAGAGAAAAACUUGACAACUCGUGUGAUUGAUGAAGUCUGAGCAACCAAGUGGGAAAUUAGUUAAAACUUUCAACAACGGAUCUCUUGGCUCUGGCAUCGAUGAAGAACGCAGCGAAAUGCGAUAAGUAAUGUGAAUUGCAGAAUCUAGUGAAUCAUCGAAUCUUUGAACGCACAUUGCGCCCCUUGGUAUUCCGAGGGGCAUGCCUGUUCGAGCGUCAAAACAACCCCUCAAGCCGCUUUGGUUUGGUCUUGGGGCGCGCCCGUGAGAGCGCGGCGGCCCUUAAACUCAGUGGCGGUACCGGUGGUGCACUCCGCGUAGUCACGUUUCUCGCGACAGGACGGCACUGGAACCAGCCAAAAGACGACGGACGCUGAUGCAUCUGUCACGCUUCUCAAUGGUUGACCUCGAAUCAGGUAGGGAUACCCGCUGAACUUAAGCAUAUCAAUAAGCGGAGGA
rnacentral:rRNA from 1 species